rnacentral:lncRNA from 1 species
AUAAAUAGAUCCAAGUUCGGAUUUCUUGAGCACUAAUGCCCUGCUAUUGCUGGGUUAUGUGAAACCCUUUCUUAUGUUGAACACAAGAAGCCCAUGAUUAUUGGUACCACAGAUUCUCACAUUCUUAAUCAGUUCCACCUGGCCAAUAAACAGUAAAGCCAGGACAGCUUCUCUUCUGUGUGGCUUUCCUACUUUAUGGGUAAUAAAGCUGUCCUCAGUGUGAUUUAGGAGUCCCUUUGAUGCCUGCUAGUUUACUGUAUUGGUAUUUCAGGGGUGUUGGCAGUCAGCGGUGAGACUGCACUCCUGGCAUCUCAGAACUGUGGCAGUGAGCUCACCCGGCUAAAUAGCGGGGGAAACACAGCUGAUAUUUAUGAUACUUUAUUUUAGGUGUGUUUCUUAUAAAGAGCUAGUUGGAUUUUCUUUUGAUUCAAAUCUACAAUCGCAUUGGAGCAGCAAUGCAUCACUGGAGUUGAGGCCCUUUAAUGCUCACUGCUGACCCCUGUCUUCAUAGCAUCGUGCUGAUGACCGUUCGUGGUUUAAAGAUCAUAUUUGCUCAUUUUAAAGACUGUGGUUUGGACACCAAACAGCUGAAACUGGAAAUAAUUAAACCAAGGAACUCAGCCUCCCUUGUCCGUACCAGCAGGAGUGGCAUCGGCCAGGAUAAACUAAAACCCAGCCAGGCUGAAGUAGGUAUAAACAAAGAAAAUAUUGAGAAAGGAGAAGAGUGGAAUGUUGGCUUCUUUCAGAUUGGAAGAAUAGAACAAAAUGUAAGUAUUUCAAGUAUUAUUAACGUUACUUGCUAACACUUUGAAAAAUUGAAUAUCAUCUCUCAGUAUGAGAUAAAUGUGCUUUAAACACUUCAAGAGGCAAUAUGUGGCAGUUAAUCUUUGUUGCUUUUUAUUUCUUUAUAUUAUAUAUUUACCAUUGUUGUUCUUAUUAUCAAAUCCCUAUGACAUUAAAAAUAAAAAAAAAGAUGAAAAGCUUAUAUCACAUUUUCUUAUGACUUCAAUAGAGAUUUGAUGAAAAAAUUUAUACUUUGGUGUCAUCUUGAUUCUUGAACUUACUCCCAGAUCAGCUACAAAUGUGUCCUGUGGCCUGAGGCAUUGAAGCACCGCAGAGCCCCGCAAUAAUUUCCUGACAGAUCAGACAACCCACUUAUUCCAUGUCCCGGUUGUCCCAGUGACCUAGAUCAUUGUCAACAACAAAGGUGCUUUAGCUUUCAGUUUAAAAUAUCUGCUGGGUUUGCAAACUCAGAUUCACUUUGCCAUUUAGCUGAAAAUGCAUUUUAGGGUGCUGGAGUUUGCUUUCAUUCAUUCAUCCGCGCUUACUUAGUUCUCAGUGCAGAAGAAAGAGUGCCACCUACUGGAUGUGGGAUAGGAGGAGAAUAUG